AUACCUUUCUCGGCAUUUUGGCUAAGAUCAAGUGUAGUAUCUGUUCUUAUCAGUUUAAUAUCUGAUACAUGGUUCAUAGAACCACAUGAUAUUAAAUGUAUUUCUCUAGGGGGAGGGCCCACUUACAAUAGCUUGCUAUUGGGGCUCUCGGUCGU
rnacentral:snRNA from 1 species